rnacentral:tRNA from 1 species
GAAAUGUGGGAAUCAGAUUUAAGCUUCUAACUUAAAAUCUAAGCGGUGGGACCUCGUUUACAUUUCA